rnacentral:rRNA from 1 species
GAUANGGGGACUCCACGUGCACAGGCAUAUCGCCUCGCGCUUUUCUGUACCCGUAAGGUGGUACAAAAAUAAGGGCUGGGCAAGACCGGUGCCAGCCGCCGCGGUAAUACCGGCAGCCCGAGUGAUGGCCGAUCUUAUUGGGCCUAAAGCGUCCGUAGCUGGCCUCGCAAGUCCAUCGGGAAAUCCACCCGCUCAACGGGUGGGCGUCCGGUGGAAACUGCAAGGCUUGGGACCGGAAGGCUCGAGGGGUACGUCCGGGGUAGGAGUGAAAUCCCGUAAUCCCGAACGGACCGCCGAUGGCGAAAGCACCUCGCGAAAACGGAUCCGACAGUGAGGGACGAAAGCCAGGGUCUCGAACCGGAUUAGAUACCCGGGUAGUCCUGGCCGUAAACAAUGCUUGCUAGGUGUGGCUCCCGCUACGAGCGAGUGCUGUGCCGUAGGGAAGCCGAUAAGCAAACCGCCUGGGAAGUACGUCUGCAAGGAUGAAACUUAAAGGAAUGGGGGGGGGAAAACACACAAAAGG